GCGAGCAGUGGAGCUGCGGUUGGUCCAGGCCUUCGUGGUGCCAAAGUCCUCCCUCAGAGACCCCUCGAGGGAAAGGAGAGGCGGGUGGGCAGGGUGAGUGCAGACAAAAGGCGCUUGAGCAAGACCCACGCUUCUCUGGGCUCCCAAACGCAUCGGGGCGGGAAAGCAGCUCCAACUUCAACGUGGAAUUCUCCCAAAGCCGGCUGUCCAUCAGCCAGAAGCUCCCCAGCACCACCAUGACCAAAGCAAGGAAGAGGAGGAGGCGGAGGAGGCUCAUGGAGCUGGCAGAGCCCAAGAUAAACUGGCAAGUCCUGAAAGACAGGUGUCCCAGGUAUCCAGGGCAGCCCAAAUGGCAGUCCCCAGCUCGCGGAUCCUCCAGUUGUCAAAGCCGAAGGCCCCAGCCACCCUCUUGGAAGAGUGGGACCCCGUGCCAAAACCCAAGCCACAUGUGUCAGACCAUAACCGCCUCCUUCACUUGGCCAGGCCCAAAGCUCAGUCGGACAAGUGCGUUCCUGACCGAGAUCCUCGCUGGGAGGUGCUGGAUGUCACCAAGAAGGUGGUGGCCAGCCCCCGGAUCAUCUCCCUGGCCAAGCCCAAAGUGCGCAAGGGCCUCAACGAGGGAUACGACAGGCGUCCCCUCGCCUCUAUGAGCUUGCCACCCCCAAAAGCAUCACCAGAAAAGUGUGAUCAACCCAGGCCUGGCCUCUAAGACCUCCGCUCCCAGUAAACACCCUCAGGCACCCUAACCCUGUGUAUGUGAUUAUUCUGAGCUUUUUGGCCUGGAGAAGGGAGGGCGGGCUAGAAGGCCAAAAGAAGGAUGAGGAGGACAAUAAUAUUUAUUUUUGCAUCCA
rnacentral:lncRNA from 1 species